UGAAGAAUAUUGGACAAUGGGCGCAAGCCUGAUCCAGCCAUGCCGCGUGCAGGAUGACGGUCCUAUGGAUUGUAAACUGCUUUUAUACAGGAAGAAACACUACUUCGUGAAGUAGCUUGACGGUACUGUAAGAAUAAGGAUCGGCUAACUCCGUG
rnacentral:rRNA from 1 species